GCCCAAAUGUAAUAUAAUUACAUGUUUCUCAAAACAUUUGUAGUUGCAUCCUAAGAGCUUUCGCCUAGCCAGGCUUGAGAGCUAAUGCUGUUAAAAUCCUUCAUUGGAUGUCUGAGGUU